rnacentral:misc_RNA from 1 species
CAUACGCCAGGUGAUUUGAGCACUGGCAUCAAGCGGAGUCAUAGUGGUGGUGGCGUUGCAUCCGUCACUCUCUCCUCUCUUCCCCCUCCUCUCUCUUUCACAGCAACUGAAGGGAAAGGUGUCAUGUUAAAUGGGCUGACGCGGGUGAGCACCAGUUCUGAGCUGGAGUCGAUACUAGAUAUCGUGCAAUCGUCCGGCGAAAUCGCGGUCGUAUUCACUUCGCCGAGCAUUGGCGAUUUGGAGACGAUUACAAGCGAAACACAGCGUCGUCAGCUGCGCAUUGCGGGAAUCCCUCGCGGUGGGUACACCAUCCUCCCUGCUAUUCCGCUAUACGAUGACGAGCUGCUUCAGAUGUGUGAACGGUACACCUCAGCGAACGAGUACGAGAAGGCGGAAAUGCGCAACAGCUUGUAUAUGCGAGAAUACCCACUAUUCACGUACAGCAUACGCCAUCAGAGGGCACUAUUUCACCCUGCCGACUACGUGAGCCGGAUACUCCAGUUCUGCUCCUAUUAUGUCCAGGCGCCCGACGCAGACGUUUUGCCGCUGCAAGACAAGAGUCCUUUUCUUCACAUUUCCCCCAUAAAGGAAAUUUGCAAGCAUCUCCGCCUCAUUGCCCGCGGCACCCCAGUGGCGCCAGACGACUCCGAGUCGCCGGUGCCAGAGCAGCUGCGCCUUCAUGCAGAGUCAGACGCGGAGAAGCUUGCAGCCGAGCGUGCCACGGCUAUGUCCAUCGCAACCAGUAGUGGUGGCGCCUCGGAGACGGAGCAGCCGUCUCUCUUCAGCGGCGUUGCGCCGUCGGCGCUGUUUCAGAAAGGCGCAGUGGAGGAGGUCGACAAGGACGCUGAAGACACCAUGGAGGAUCUCACCGGCGAGGAGACAGUGGACGCGGUGCACAGCUUUCAGGCAGAGUACUUGACACUGGACGGGUUUGAGCUGGUGACAAAAGCGUCCAUCUACUACGACCGCGAAGGGGAGGGGCAGCGCAUCGUUGCGGUGUACAUUCCGGGAGGGGUACCAGAGGACACGUGCCGCGCAGCCGCAGCGGUCCUGGAGCCGGCGGCGACAAAAAAGAAUCUGCGGGCACCCACGAACGGUGGACUGCCACCAGACACCGGGAUCGUAGGCUACUACGACUACCUUACGAAUCCUACCCAACACAAGUGCAGAGAGACGGAAUACAGCCGCAGGAAUUGGGGGCUCUUAGCCCAGAGCGAGCCGUUGCUGAAGCAUCUCGACAAGCUGUACAGUCAGUUGGCUCCAAUGCACCAUCAUCUGCAGAGGGUGGCCAUCCCGUCACAGUACCAGCUGUGCGGAACAGUCUUCAGCACCAUCACUGUUAAUAGAAACUUCCGCACCGCCGUGCACACCGACAAGGGUGACUUCCGGAGCGGCUUGGGGGUUCUCUCAGUGAUCAACGGCGAGUUUGAGGGAUGCCAUCUCGCCAUCAAAAGGCUCAAGAAGGCGUUCCAGCUCAAAGUCGGCGACGUUCUUCUUUUCGACACGUCUCUGGAGCACGGCAACACGGAGGUGGUAAACCCGGAAAUUCACUGGCAGCGAACCAGCGUUGUGUGCUACCUGCGCACUGGACUAAUGUCCUCUGUGUGCGAGAUGGAGCGACGUAAGCACCUGAAUCGGCUCAUUCUCCUGCAACUGCUCAACACAGAGGUUCGCAACACGACGGUGAACAUCAACGGAGCCGACAGCAGCCUGCCACCGCUGUUUGUGCCGACCCGCCUGGCGAGCCAUUUGGCGCCCGUGCAGCUUGCUGCCCUCGGCUUCAUUGUGGAGCGUACGGAGAAGCAGAGUGGGUGCGUGGUGGCAAUGACGAUGGGACUGGGCAAAACGCUUGUUGCACUCACGUUGUGCUUCUCACAGCUGCAUCUUGCACCGCAGGCCGACAUACUCAUCCUCACGCCAAAACCGAUCAUCAGUCACUGGGUGGACGAGAAAAACAAGUGGGGCAUGCACGGGCUCCAUUUUCCGCACUUCGUCGCCUCCGACGGGCUCAACUCGUUGGAGUUCGAGCAGCAGCUUCUCGAGUACGAGCGUCAGAGGAACAACGAGAAACCCAAGUUGGGUCACAUCUUCGUCAUCAACGGCGAGUACCUGGCAGGGUUUCUGCGACGUUUCAAGCGCUUUACGCCCUUGCUCAUGAUCGUGGACGAGGGCCACCGAGUGGCUGCGAAGGGGAAUAAAUUGACGGAGUCCCUCGAUCGCCUACGGUGCAACCUCCGCAUCGUGCUAUCCGGCACGCCUUUGCAAAACGACGCCAGCGAACUCUACCGGCUAGUGGGGUGGGUGAACAAAGGCGUCAGCAGGGUACUGCCGCCGAAGCGCUUCCAGGAGCUCGCGAAUGACAUCAACCAGUUCGUCGAAGGCGACGAUGGGGCCUUCUACAAUGCAGUGAUGGCGCAGGAGUACAUUCAGGACUGGAUGCGUGGGUUCGUGUUUCGUGAAAUGGAAAACGACCUGCCACCGCUGCACGAUUACCUGUUGAUUUGCGGCUCCUCCGACGUGCAGCGGGAGUAUGAGGAGAAGCUGGGCCUCACGGAGACGGCCAUGACAGCCCUUAAAGCCACGGAGCACCGACCGCAUCACCUCUCCACGCACCCCGCUUGCUACCUGGCCUUCAUCUCCGACAGCUACCAAUCGAUGGUAAGCGGGUGGACAGUGCGUGCGCAGUCGAAUACGUCGCGGCCGCGAGUGUCCCAACUGGAGGAGAUCGAUACCAUGCGACUGGAGCAGUAUGUCCAGUUGGUCGAGAACGAGCAACUCGACGCCUUCAUCGACUUGAGCGGCAAGAUGCGGGUGCUCGUCGAUAUUGUGCUGCGCGUGCAAGCCCGCAAGGAGAAGCUCAUCAUUUUCUCUCUCUACGUGGGUUCGCAGGACCUGAUUCAUCGCACCCUGACGGCGCUGCGGGUCUGCACAUUUACCGUUCGCGGCCGAGACUCACAAGACCGCCGCCGCCGCGCCAUGCAGGAGUUCAGCGAGAACAAAGACCUCAUUGUGCUGGUGUUAUCAACAAAGAUCGCCGCCUACGGUCUCGACUUCACGGCGGCGAAUCACGUUGUUCUGUUCGACUCGUGGUGGAACCCGCAGGUGGACGCACAAGCCAUCGCGCGCGCGUACAGGCGAAAUCAACGGAAGCCAGUGACCGUGUAUCGCCUUAUCUCGGCAACCGAAAACAAGUUCGUGCUGCGCUCACAGACACGAAAGAUUGCCCUCUUCAAGUGCAUCCUCCAUGAGCGCACCAGUCGGCAGGCGUUGCCCGACGAGCUGGAGGAUUGCGCAGCGAACGAGAAGGAUGAAGAAAGGCGAAUCUUUUGGGCAAAACUGAAAACGACCUCUCUUGCUGGAGAUUCUCGGGCGUUGUUGAACGUUUAUCGCUACCAGGAGAGCGUUCGCGAAAGCGAAUGAGUGCAUCAGGCGACAAGGGCUCGGCGUCUCUGCGGCGUCGAAUCCAUGCGGACGUUCUGUUGGUUACUCUCUUUUCUUGUUUUUCUUGUACGUGCCUUUGUUUAUGCCUCAUCUUGUACCUCCUCGCCUGCUCUCGUAUUCCUUCUUUUCUUUUUGGCCGUUGUUCUCUUUCUUGUAUGCAUGUGUGUGUGUGUGUGUGUGUGUGCGUGUGUGUGUGUGUGUGUGUGUGUGUGUGUGUGUGUCUGUGUGCGUCUGGCCAAGGAGAGAAUAAUCAUACAGUGCACUCAUUCUCACGCGCGUAAGCAGUUUUUCCGAAACGCUGCUGUCACAGGCUGCUCACAUAUGGCUUAUUAAUCGGUAUAGAAGGGCGUGGGGAAAAGGUGUAGGUAUGUGUUGUGAGGAUUGACAUACGCCACAGCUCGGGCAUCGUUUUUUUUUGUGUGUGUGAGGGGUGAGUUCGCUUUUUGUGGCGAUCGUCGAACUCCUCGUCAGCAUUGGGCGUCGUUUAAUUCUGCUUUGCACUCUGCUCGGUGCUACUAAUGAUCCUUUUUCUGUUGAAUGUUCUAUUUGUUUUUCUGUUUAUGGGCCGUUAGGCAGUGAUUACGGUGCGCGUAGGGCCCAAUCCACGGCGCUUUUUCCGGUUGAAGUCUCAAGAGCACAUAGUUUGUGUGUGUGUUCGGCUAUGUUUCUGUGCAUCUUUUACCUACUGUUUGGUAGAUGACAAAUGGGUGUGUUGUGUGGGUUCCUUCGAUUUGUUUAGUGAACUCCUUCCCCCUUUGUCAUAUAUAUACAUAUACUCUCCCUUUUCUCUCCCUCUCCCUCUCUGUUUCGUGUUGUCUUAAUGAGCCAGUCACCAGCCUGUGCGUGUGCGCUUGCGCGCGUAUGUCCGGAUGGAGCAAAAAAAA